rnacentral:rRNA from 1 species
GACAGAGGAUGCAAGCGUUAUCCGGAAUGAUUGGGCGUAAAGCGUCUGUAGGUGGCUUUUCAAGUCCGCCGUCAAAUCCCAGGGCUCAACCCUGGACAGGCGGUGGAAACUACCAAGCUGGAGUACGGUAGGGGCAGAGGGAAUUUCCGGUGGAGCGGUGAAAUGCGUAGAGAUCGGAAAGAACACCAAUGGCGAAAGCAGCUCUCUGGGGCGGUACUGACGCUGAGACGCGAAAGCGUGGGGAGCGAACAGG